rnacentral:tRNA from 1 species
CCGCUGCGGGGGCGGCGGUUCCCGGCGCGGUCGUCUCCGGCGCGAUCCCGGCGCGGUCGGCGCCCGCGCCGGUGCUUCCCGCCGGGUCGGU